CUGGAACACAAGAGAAAGGGAUGUAGAUAAAGGUCCCCCAAGUCACAGGUGCUGAAACUUGCCUUAUUUAUUUUCGCUUCCCGGACUAUAGGCCCUGGUUCUCAUUUCACAGAGAAGAAAACUGAAAUUGGAAAUUGUUAGUAUCUUGCCCAAGAAGUUAAAUAGCUACAUCCUGGACCGAGGCACUGAAACGUCUUUAUUCUGGUUUCAAGGUCCAAGAGCAUGGCUCUCUACCCUCUGCUCCCUCUGGUAGGCCACCAGCACUAGGAGCUGACCGUGCCCACCAGGUCAGGGGACCGGUCCACAGCGAUCCUCUGAGGUCCAGAGCAGCGGCACAUCUCCCACUACCGACCAGGCAGGGCUUUGACUCCCACGGAGGAGACAGCCAGGCUGUGCAGGGGAGGAUGGAGGGCUCUCUCCUCGCCUGUGGUGUUGGAGGUCAUGCUAGGAGUGAGCAACCUGAGCCGUGCAGCUCCCAGACGCGGACAGGGAAGGCCGGAGAGCACCGGUGAACUUGCCCUGACUUGGGCAGAGCGCAGCUGCGGAAAGGGAUCACCUCUCAUUCUCUUUAUGAAACAUGCUGCUCCUGCCGCGGGGAACACAGGUAGAGUGUCUGCCUUUAUGCUGUUUUGCCGCGAGAAAGCAAGGAUGUCUUCACACCCUUGUGUCUGACUACCCGGCUUGAGACCUGCAGGGAUGGUGGUUCCUUUGUCUCAACAUCUAAAUCCUGUUUAAAUCUUGACAGGUGUAUACAUGCGUUGAAAAAUAUAAAUAAGUACAGGAAAUCAAACCCCCUCGGUUACUCAAUUUUCCAAGAAAAUGAAAGCAAGGAUAACUUAAAAUGAAUAAAAAUAUACUCUCC
rnacentral:lncRNA from 1 species